rnacentral:misc_RNA from 1 species
UCUCCGUUGGUGAACCAGCGGAGGGAUCAUUACCGAGUUAUCAACUCCCAAACCCCUGUGAACAUACCUGAACGUUGCCUCGGCGGGACCGCCCCGGCGCCCAUCUCGCGGCCCGGAACCAGGCGCCCGCCGGAGGACCCAAACUCUUGCUUUGAACAGUGGCAUACUCUCUGAGUCUCACAAACAAAAAGUGAAUCAAAACUUUCAACAACGGAUCUCUUGGCUCUG